GAUGAACGCUGGCGGCGUGCCUAAUACAUGCAAGUCGAGCGAACGGACGAGAAGCUUGCUUCUCUGAUGUUAGCGGCGGACGGGUGAGUAACACGUGGAUAACCUACCUAUAAGACUGGGAUAACUUCGGGAAACCGGAGCUAAUACCGGAUAAUAUUUUGAACCGCAUGGUUCAAAAGUGAAAGACGGUCUUGCUGUCACUUAUAGAUGGAUCCGCGCUGCAUUAGCUAGUUGGUAAGGUAACAGCUUACCAAGGCAACGAUGCAUAGCCGACCUGAGAGGGUGAUCGGCCACACUGGAACUGAGACACGGUCCUGACUCCUACGGGAGGCAGCAGUAGGGAAUCUUCCGCAAUGGGCGAAAGCCUGACGGAGCAACGCCGCGUGAGUGAUGAAGGUCUUCGGAUCGUAAAACUCUGUUAUUAGGGAAGAACAUAUGUGUAAGUAACUGUGCACAUCUUGACGGUACCUAAUCAGAAAGCCACGGCUAACUACGUG
rnacentral:rRNA from 1 species